GUGGGGAAUAUUGGACAAUGGGCGCAAGCCUGAUCCAGCCAUGCCGCGUGAGUGAUGAAGGCCUUAGGGUUGUAAAGCUCUUUUGUCCGGGACGAUAAUGACGGUACCGGAAGAAUAAGCCCCGGCUAACUUCGUGCCAGCAGCCGCGGUAAUACGAAGGGGGCUAGCGUUGCUCGGAAUCACUGGGCGUAAAGGGCGCGUAGGCGGCCGAUUAAGUCGGGGGUGAAAGCCUGUGGCUCAACCACAGAAUUGCCUUCGAUACUGGUUGGCUUGAGACCGGAAGAGGACAGCGGAACUGCGAGUGUAGAGGUGAAAUUCGUAGAUAUUCGCAAGAACACCAGUGGCGAAGGCGGCUGUCUGGUCCGGUUCUGACGCUGAGGCGCGAAAGCGUGGGGAGCAAACAGGAUUAGAUACCCCAGUAGUCC
rnacentral:rRNA from 1 species